rnacentral:rRNA from 1 species
GACCCCGCACAAGCGGUGGAGCAUGUGGAUUAAUUCGAUACUAACCGAAGAACCUUACCCAGGUUUGACAUCGAUGGCAAAGCCCUGAAAGGGGCUCCUCUCCCACAAGGAGACCAGAAGACACUUGUUGCAUGGCUGUCGUCAGCUCGUGCCGUGAGGUGUACGGUUAAGUCCGCCAACGAGCGCAACCCUCGUUCUAUGUUGCCAGCACUAAAGGUGGGAACUCAUAGGAGACUGCCCGUGUAAGCGGGAGGAAGGUGAGGAUGAUGUCAAGUCAGCAUGGCAGUUACGCCUGGGGCUUCACACAUGCUACAAUGGGCGAAACAAACGGAAGCAAUACCGCGAGGUGGAGCAAAUCCGAAAAAUACGCCCCCAGUUCAGAUUGUAGUCUGCAACUCGACUACAUGAAGGCGGAAUCGCUAGUAAACGCAGGUCAGCUAUACUGCGUUGAAUACGUUCCCGGGGUUU